AAGUUAAUGACAUUUGGCGCAUGUUUGAAGAGUAUUUUUUAGAUGAUUCAUUUGUUGACUACAAUAAAAUUGAUUUUAGAAUUAUCCAUUUUGCCGAGAAGUUAAUGUCGUACCACCAUUACACUUAGUUGUGCUUUGUACAAGCCUUAAUCACGGAUUCAUGUUAUUUUACAUGGCUCAAUGGAGCCUGAAGUCAGUGCAGUCCUUCAUGGACUGCGGCAGAUAUGGGUAAUUGCAUGGGCAGUUGCUUACCAACAUCUCGCAGAUUAUUUUCUAGUGAUGAUAAAACAGACUUUGCUGACCUUAUAAAUAAUCCUAAUGAAGAUACUACUAACAAAAGUGAAACUUGUUUUUCAUGCUUGCAUGAAGAUGUUUUUUAAUUCGGCAUUUCCUCAAGACUAAAAAGAAACACAGACCAAAGGUAUAAUUUUAAUUUGUUUUAAAUAACCCCUUUAGUUUUCUUGUUUCUUAGGAAGCAGUUUUAAAUUUGGUUGAAGACAUUUUCCCCUCUUCUAAAAGUACUAAUUAUUCCAAGCUCAACAAGAUACCACACUCAUCAGAUAGACAGAACAUACCUUUACAAUGUUUAGAUGCCCGUGCUCUUUUAACAAAUACUGCAAACUCUACACCUGCUAGUUCUCUAGAUCUAGAAUGGGAGCAUGAAGCCUUGCCCUUAGAAGUUGUACAAGAGCCCUGUAACAGUUCAUGGUAUAAAUAUUUUUUCUUUAUAUAAAUAAAACAGCUUUUGGUAAUUUUUUACAUUAGUUGACAUUGGAA